rnacentral:rRNA from 1 species
AGUGAACGCUGGCGGUAGGCCUAACACAUGCAAGUCGAACGGCAGCACAGUAAGAGCUUGCUCUUACGGGUGGCGAGUGGCGGACGGGUGAGGAAUACAUCGGAAUCUACUUUUUCGUGGGGGAUAACGUAGGGAAACUUACGCUAAUACCGCAUAUGACCUACGGGUGAAAGUAGGGGAUCUUCGGACCUUGCGCGAUUGAAUGAGCCGAUGUCGGAUUAGCUAGUUGGCGGGGUAAAGGCCCACCAAGGCGACGAUCCGUAGCUGGUCUGAGAGGAUGAUCAGCCACACUGGAACUGAGACACGGUCCAGACUCCUACGGGAGGCAGCAGUGGGGAAUAUUGGACAAUGGGCGCAAGCCUGAUCCAGCCAUACCGCGUGGGUGAAGAAGGCCUUCGGAUUGUAAAGCCCUUUUGUUGGGAAAGAAAAGCAGCAGGUUAAUACCCCGCUGUUCUGACGGUACCCAAAGAAUAAGCACCGGCUAACUUCGUG